rnacentral:rRNA from 1 species
AUGGCGGCGCCGGAUGCAGACGAGACCCCGGCCUCCCCGGGCUACGCCCUCCGCGCGACCCUCGCCGGGCACCGCCGCGCCGUCUCCGCCGUCAAGUUCUCCCCCGACGGCCGCCUCCUCGCCUCCGCCUCCGCCGACAAGCUCCUCCGCGUCUGGUCCUCGGCGGACCUCUCCCUCGUCGCCGAGCUCGAGGGCCACGAGGAGGGCGUCUCCGAUCUCUCCUUCUCCCCCGACGGCCGCCUCCUCGCCUCCGCCUCCGACGACCGCACCGUCCGCAUCUGGGACCUGGGCGCCGGCGGCGGCGCCCGCCUCGUCAAGACCCUGGCCGGCCACACCAACUACGCCUUCUGCGUCGCCUUCAGCCCCCACGGCAACGUGCUCGCCUCGGGAUCCUUCGACGAGACGGUGCGCGUCUGGGAGGUCAGGUCGGGCCGGAGCCUCCGCGUGCUGCCCGCCCACUCCGAGCCCGUCACCGCCGUCGAUUUCGACCGGGACGGGGCCAUGAUCGUGUCGGGAAGCUACGACGGGCUCUGCCGCAUCUGGGACGCGGCCACCGGGCACUGCGUCAAGACCCUCAUCGAUGACGAGAGCCCGCCCGUGUCCUACUCCAAGUUCUCCCCCAAUGGCAAGUUCGUGCUUGCAUCCACCCUUGAUAGCACCCUGAGGCUCUGGAAUUUUUCAGCUGGGAAGUUUUUGAAGACGUAUACUGGCCAUGUGAACACAAAAUACUGCAUUCCGGCAGCAUUUUCUAUCACCAACGGCAAGUACAUUGUGAGUGGCUCUGAAGACAAGUGUGUCUACAUGUGGGAUCUUCAGUCAAGGAAGAUCGUGCAGAAACUGGAAGGGCAUAGCGACACAGUCAUUGCUGUGUCAUGCCACCCUAAGGAGAACAUGAUUGCAUCAGGAGCGCUUGACAACGACAAGACGGUGAAAGUCUGGGUUCAAAAGGAUGGAGAUCAAUGA